rnacentral:rRNA from 1 species
GGGGAAUAUUGCACAAUGGGCGCAAGCCUGAUGCAGCCAUGCCGCGUGUAUGAAGAAGGCCUUCGGGUUGUAAAGUACUUUCAGCGGGGAGGAAGGCGAUGUGGUUAAUAACCGCGUCGAUUGACGUUACCCGCAGAAGAAGCACCGGCUAACUCCGUGCCAGCAGCCGCGGUAAUACGGAGGGUGCAAGCGUUAAUCGGAAUUACUGGGCGUAAAGCGCACGCAGGCGGUCUGUCAAGUCGGAUGUGAAAUCCCCGGGCUCAACCUGGGAACUGCAUCCGAAACUGGCAGGCUUGAGUCUCGUAGAGGGGGGUAGAAUUCCAGGUGUAGCGGUGAAAUGCGUAGAGAUCUGGAGGAAUACCGGUGGCGAAGGCGGCUCUCUGGUCUGUAACUGACGCUGAGGCUCGAAAGCGUGGGGAGCAAAC